rnacentral:tRNA from 1 species
GGGCCUGUAGCUCAGCUGGUUAGAGCACUCGACUCAUAAUCGAUAGGUCCACGGUUCAAGUCCGUGCAGGCCCACCA